rnacentral:rRNA from 1 species
CUGGCGGCGUGCCUAAUACAUGCAAGUCGAACGGUCUUUCUAUGGAAGCUUGCUCCACUGAGAAGAUAGUGGCGAACGGGUGAGUAACACGUGGGUAACCUGCCCAUAAGAGGGGGAUAACAUCCGGAAACGGGUGCUAAUACCGCAUAGUUUUCUUGAUCGCAUGAUCGGGAAAGGAAAGACGGCCUUUGUGCUGUCGCUUAUGGAUGGACCCGCGGCGUAUUAGUUAGUUGGUGAGGUAACGGCUCACCAAGACGAUGAUACGUAGCCGACCUGAGAGGGUGAUCGGCCACAUUGGGACUGAGACACGGUCCAGACUCCUACGGGAGGCAGCAGCUAAGAAUCUUCCGCAAUGGGCGAAAGCCUGACGGAGCGACGCCCGCGUGAACGAAGAAGGCCGUGAGGUUGUAAAGUUCUUUUCGGGAGGGGGAACAACCGUGGCAGGGAAUGGCCGCGGGAUGACGUGAAUCCCGGAAUAAGCCCCGGCUAACUACGUGCCAGCCGCAGC